rnacentral:rRNA from 1 species
CCUACGGGGGGCAGCAGUGGGGAAUAUUGCGCAAUGGGCGAAAGCCUGACGCAGCGACGCCGCGUGAGGGAUGAAGGUCUUCGGAUCGUAAACCUCUGUCAGCAGGGAAGAACGGUCACUGUGCUAAUCAGCAGUGAAUUGACGGUACCUGCAAAGGAAGCACCGGCUAACUCCGUGCCAGCAGCCGCGGUAAUACGGAGGGUGCGAGCGUUAAUCGGAAUUACUGGGCGUAAAGCGCUCGUAGGCGGUAUGUCACGUCAAGGGUGAAAUCCCCGCGCUCAACGUGGGAACUGCCUUUGAAACUGGCAAACUGGAGUGUGUGAGAGGAUAGUGGAAUUCCAGGUGUAGGAGUGAAAGCCGUAGAUAUCUGGAGGAACAUCAGUGGCGAAGGCGACUAUCUGGCACAUAACUGACGCUGAGGAGCGAAAGCGUGGGUAGCAAACAGGAUUAGAUACCCCAGUAGUC